rnacentral:rRNA from 1 species
CCUACGGGCGGCUGCAGUGGGGAAUAUUGGGCAAUGGGCGCAAGCCUGACCCAGCAACGCCGCGUGAAGGACGAAGGCUUUCGGGUUGUAAACUUCUUUUAAGAGGGAAGGGCAGAAGACGGUACCUCUUGAAUAAGCCACGGCUAACUACGUGCCAUCAGCCGAGGUAAUACGUAGGUGGCAAGCGUUUUCCUGAUUUACUGGGUGUAAAGGACGUGAAGCCGGGAAGACAAGUCAGAUGUGAAAUCCCGCGGCUCAACCGCGGAACUGCAUUUGAAACUGUUUUUCUUGAGUACCGGAGAGGUAGGCGGAAUUCCUAGUGUAGCGGUGAAAUGCGUAGAUAGUAGGAGGAACACCAGUGGCGAAGGCGGCCUACUGGACGGUGACUGACGCUGAGGCUCGAAAGCGUGGGGAGCAAACAGGAUUAGAUACCCUUGUAGUC